UGGGAGGAUGUGACGUCAGGUGAGAA
rnacentral:piRNA from 1 species